CCAAUGUCUUGUACAUUAUUUUUUUAAUCUUUGAAGGCGCAUAACCUCCAAAUAAUAAUUUUGUUAUCACACUCAACAACAUUAAACACGUGCGUAUAUCAAUUUCGAAAAUAAAUGCAUAAACUGUUCAUUGGUCUACGAUAUCAUAGUGAUAUCUGAGAAAUGAAAAAAUAUUACAGUCGACUCUCAGUAACUCGAAGUUCAAGGGGAAAAAAAAAAUUCGACUUACUAAAAAUUUCGAGUUAUCAAAAACUUUUAAAAAUUACGGUAUACAAUUUGAACCUGUCGCGAAAGAGCAAUUCGAAUCAUUAUACAAAUUCAAAGUGAUUACUGCUGGAUUAUUUGUUGAUCCUACACUACCUUAUUUAGCGGCAUCACCUGACGGACUUAUUGGAGAUAAUUCAAUAAUAGAAAUUAAAUGUCCUUUUUCAAUAAGAGAUUUAACGCCGGAAAAUGCAUACAAGGAGAAGAAAAUUAAAUAUUUAGAACAAAAAGACAACAAAUUAGUUUUGAAGAAUAGCCAUGAUUAUUAUUUUCAAGUACAGGGUCAACUACACAUUACGCAAAGGAAAUUUUGUUAUUUUGUAGUAUGGACACCUAAAGGAAUGUUGGUUGAUUUAAUUGAACGAGAUGAUUUAUUUUGGAAAGGUAAAAUGGAAAUACCUUUAUCAGAAUUUUACCUCAACCACAUGAUAUUAGAAAUUAUUUCUCCAUCAUAUUCAAUUUGAGCUUGGACUUCAUAAUUUUGUACUUGAUUCGAAGUGUAUAUAAAACGUGUAUAUUACGUGAACUUGUAGUAAUUUACAA